GAGUGAAAUGGCCUGCAGCUGCAGAGCAUACCAAAUAACACUUUCUCUUUUAAUUUCUAGAAAAACAAGGCAAAUGUCCUUGGGUGACGCUCUUUCUUCUUCUUAAAACCAAGAUAACUGGCCCAGGAUGAGAUAAGCGUUCCGGCAAACCAAGUAUUGGAUGUAUGAUCACGUCCAGGAAGCGUCGGGCCUUUGGGGAUCAGCCUUCAAAUAUGCUCCACCAGGCAUUCUGAGCCGUGGAUUGAAUAGUUUUUCCCAAAGCUACCAAUAUCCCUCCGACCACAAAGAAACAGUGGGACAAGAUAACACUGUGGCCGUUAUGAAGCCAGGCGCCGAAAGUUGGUGACGUAUCCCAGCUAAUAAAUGUUAUUUAUGAGAAAACUACAGUAAUGUGGAUGUCAGUUCUUCUUUAUGCGUGAAGGAUGGCGCAAUGGCCCUGGUGGACGGCGUGGCCAAUGCUGCUGACAGCCUUCGGCUAUGAUACAGUCCCAAUGACCGAGCUGGAGCACACUUCCACUUUUAGGAUUGGAUGGAGAAGCAGCAUACAAGAUCGACAGCAAGACAACUUCACCUGUCCAGGAAACCAACCAUGCUGAACUGGCCCCUACUAAUGGAAGUGAGAUGUACUUCUGCAGGGGGUGUUAUAGGGGGAAGAACAUCCUUGCGUCUGCCGGAGUGCCCCCUCAAGUGGCUGUGACCGAACUCGAUGGAUGAAUUGGACUGCAUGUACUAUGGCUAUGUUAAAUGCCAAAAUACAACGAAAUAAUGUUCAACGAAUGUUAUUGACAUCUAAUCAUAGUGCAU